rnacentral:lncRNA from 1 species
UGUAAAAAACGAGGGUGAGGAGAGACUGCAACCGUGUGCCUCAUCUCUGAAAAACAGGAGUCUCAAAAAGCAGGGAGAGGAGAGAGACUGCAACCUUGUGCCUCACGGAAAACGAGAGAGAGGAGACACCAAAAACCAGAGAGAGAGAGGAGAGAGACUGCAACCUUGUGCGUCACGAAAAACAAGAGAGAGGAGACACCAAAAACCAGAGAGAGAGAGGAGAGAGACUGCAACCUUGUGCCUCACCAAUUCAUUGAGGGAGAAGGACUGCAACUUGCUUUCUCGUCUAUUUCUAGAGAGAGAAAGAAACUCUCCAACCUUUUCCUCCUUAAU